ACUCCUACGGGAGGCAGCAGUGGGGAAUAUUGGACAAUGGGCGAAAGCCUGAUCCAGCAAUGCCGCGUGAGUGAUGAAGGCCCUAGGGUUGUAAAGCUCUUUUACCCGGGAAGAUAAUGACUGUACCGGGAGAAUAAGCCCCGGCUAACUCCGUGCCAGCAGCCGCGGUAAUACGGAGGGGGCUAGCGUUGUUCGGAAUUACUGGGCGUAAAGCGCACGUAGGCGGCUUUGUAAGUCAGAGGUGAAAGCCUGGAGCUCAACUCCAGAACUGCCUUUGAGACUGCAUCGCUUGAAUCCAGGAGAGGUCAGUGGAAUUCCGAGUGUAGAGGUGAAAUUCGUAGAUAUUCGGAAGAACACCAGUGGCGAAGGCGGCUGACUGGACUGGUAUUGACGCUGAGGUGCGAAAGCGUGGGGAGCAAACAGGAUUAGAUA
rnacentral:rRNA from 1 species